rnacentral:rRNA from 1 species
AGUGAACGCUGGCGGCGUGCUUAACACAUGCAAGUCGAACGAGAACGGGUUAUAGCUUGCUAUAAUUGUCAGCUAAGUGGCGCACGGGUGAGUAAUGUAUAGGUAAUAUGCCUCUUACUAAGGGAUAACAAAUGGAAACGUUUGCUAAUACCUUAUACUCCUUAUUAACAUAAGUUAAUAAGGGAAAGAUUUAUUGGUAAGAGAUUAGCCUGUAUUGUAUCAGUUAGUUGGUGGGGUAAUGGCCCACCAAGCCUAUGAUCGGUAGCCGACCUGAGAGGGUGAUCGGCCACAUUGAAACUGAGAUACGGUCCAAACUCCUACGGGAGGCAGCAGUGGGGAAUAUUGGGCAAUGGGGGAAACCCUGACCCAGCAACGCCGCGUGAAGGAAGAAGGUUUUCGGAUUGUAAACUCCUUUUAUAUGAGAAGAUAAUGACGGUAUUAUAUGAAUAAGCACCGGCUAACUCCGUGCCAGCCGCCGCGGUAA